CUCCUACGGGAGGCAGCAGUGGGGAAUAUUGCACAAUGGGGGAAACCCUGAUGCAGCGACGCCGCGUGGAGGAAGAAGGUCUUCGGAUUGUAAACUCCUGUUGUUGAGGAAGAUAAUGACGGUACUCAACAAGGAAGUGACGGCUAACUACGUGCCAGCAGCCGCGGUAAAACGUAGGUCACAAGCGUUGUCCGGAAUUACUGGGUGUAAAGGGAGCGCAGGCGGGAAGACAAGUUGGAAGUGAAAUCUAUGGGCUCAACCCAUAAACUGCUUUCAAAACUGUUUUUCUUGAGUAGUGCAGAGGUAGGCGGAAUUCCCGGUGUAGCGGUGGAAUGCGUAGAUAUCGGGAGGAACACCAGUGGCGAAGGCGGCCUACUGGGCACCAACUGACGCUGAGGCUCGAAAGUGUGGGUAGCAAACAGGAUUAGAUACCCUGGUAGUCCACACCGUAAACGAUGAUUACUAGGUGUUGGAGGAUUGACCCCUUCAGUGCCGCAGUUAACACAAUAAGUAAUCCACCUGGGGAGUACGACCGCAAGGUUGAAACUCAAAGGAAUUGACGGGGGCCCGCACAAGCAGUGGAGUAUGUGGUUUAAUUCGACGCAACGCGAAGAACCUUACCAAGUCUUGACAUCCUGCGACGAUGCUGGAAACAGUAUUUUCCUUCGGGACGCAGAGACAGGUGGUGCAUGGUUGUCGUCAGCUCGUGUCGUGAGAUGUUGGGUUAAGUCCCGCAACGAGCGCAACCCUUACUGUCAGUUACUACGCAAGAGGACUCUGGCAGGACUGCCGUUGACAAAACGGAGGAAGGUGGGGAUGACGUCAAAUCAUCAUGCCCUUUAUGACUUGGGCUACACACGUACUACAAUGGCGUUAAACAAAGAGAAGCAAGACCGCGAGGUGGAGCAAAACUCAGAAACAACGUCCCAGUUCGGACUGCAGGCUGCAACUCGCCUGCACGAAGUCGGAAUUGCUAGUAAUCGUGGAUCAGCAUGCCACGGUGAAUACGUUCCCGGGCCUUGUACACACCGC
rnacentral:rRNA from 1 species